UACAGAGGGGGCAAGCGUUGUUCGGAAUUACUGGGCGUAAAGGGCGCGUAGGCGGCCUGCUAAGUCGAACGUGAAAUCCCUGGGCUCAACCCAGGAACUGCGUCCGAUACUGGUUGGCUUGAAUCCGGGAGAGGGACGUGGAAUUCCAGGUGUAGCGGUGAAAUGCGUAGAUAUUCGGAGGAACACCAGUGGCGAAGGCGGCUCACUGGCUCGGUACUGACGCUGAGGUGCGAAAGCGUGGGGAGCAAACAGGG
rnacentral:rRNA from 1 species